rnacentral:rRNA from 1 species
UACGAAGGGUGCAAGCGUUAAUCGGAAUUACUGGGCGUAAAGCGUGCGUAGGCGGUUUGUUAAGUCUGUUGUGAAAUCCCCGGGCUCAACCUGGGAAUGGCAAUGGAUACUGGCAGGCUAGAGUGUGUCAGAGGAUGGUGGAAUUCCGGUGUAGCGGUGAAAUGCGUAGAGAAUCGGGAGGAACAUCAGUGGCGAAAGCGACUUCCUGGACCAGUACCGACGUCAGGCACGAAAGCGUGGGAGCAAACAGG